rnacentral:rRNA from 1 species
AGUGAACGCUGGCGGUAGGCCUAACACAUGCAAGUCGAACGGCAGCACAGUAAGAGCUUGCUCUUACGGGUGGCGAGUGGCGGACGGGUGAGGAAUACAUCGGAAUCUACUUUUUCGUGGGGGAUAACGUAGGGAAACUUACGCUAAUACCGCAUACGACCUACGGGUGAAAGCAGGGGAUCUUCGGACCUUGCGCGAUUGAAUGAGCCGAUGUCGGAUUAGCUAGUUGGCGGGGUAAAGGCCCACCAAGGCGACGAUCCGUAGCUGGUCUGAGAGGAUGAUCGGCCACACUGGAACUGAGCAACGGUCAAGACUCCUACGGGAGGCAGCAGUGGGGAAUAUUGGACAAUGGGCGCAAGCCUGAUCCAGCCAUACCGCGUGGGUGAAGAAGGCCUUCGGGUUGUAAAGCCCUUUUGUUGGGAAAGAAAAGCAGCAGGUUAAUACCCCGCUGUUCUGACGGUACCCAAAGAAUAAGCACCGGCUAACUUCGU